UCCCUGGUGUUCCAGUGGUUAAGAAUCUGCCUUGCAAAGCAGAGGAUGCAGGUUCAAUCCCUGGUCAGGAAA
rnacentral:tRNA from 1 species